rnacentral:lncRNA from 1 species
ACUACCAAGACGUUCAGGUAAAUAAGGGUUUGUUUUCUUGCUCUUCGUGUCUUUUCUUUUCGUAUUCAGUUAGCUCCUAAUCUCCUUCUCUAUUCCCUUGUAGUCGUUGCUGGUACGUGGUUCGAGCUUUAGUGAUGAUCUUUGAUUUGGGUUUAGCUCGAGCUUGUUGAGCUUCGGUGUGAAAAUCUCAACAAGUUCAAAACGGAGCUUUUCAAUGAGGGUUUUGGAGUGAUUUUGUCAGAGUAACGGUGCCCAAAAUCGGAUCCUUACUUCAUCAUUGGAGGUCCCUAUUUAUAGCGUUCUUGUACGAGGUUCAGUCUUUCCCCUCUUUCAUGAGCUGUCAAAUUUGUGGGAGAAUCAUUCCGUUAGCUAGCAAGAUUUUUCUCAGAUUUGGUGGUCCUCCAAAUUGAUGUGGUCCCUCAAAUGAAAAGGUAAGGUUUUGUCUGUAGUGAAUUUAUGAUAACCAUCCCUUUUCACUUUUCACUGCAGUAGUUGUUCUAUUUUACCCACGUAUUGACUUUUGUAACAGGUUUUUUUUACUGGUGUUUGUCUACUGUUAUUUGGUUAUGGAUAUGCGCACAAUAGCAAUGCUCCAACUUGACUUAAGGUUCGUCCAUCAUGGUUUACAACUGACUCGAGCUUUCCUGCAUUAACCC